GUCCAGACUCCUACGGGAGGCAGCAGUGGGGAAUAUUGCACAAUGGGGGAAACCCUGAUGCAGCGACGCCGCGUGAGUGAAGAAGUAUUUCGGUAUGUAAAGCUCUAUCAGCAGGGAAGAAAAUGACGGUACCUGAUUAAGAAGCCCCGGCUAACUACGUGCCAGCAGCCGCGGUAAUACGUAGGGGGCAAGCGUUAUCCGGAUUUACUGGGUGUAAAGGGAGCGUAGACGGUUGCGCAAGUCUGGAGUGAAGGGCGGGGGCCCAACCCCCGGACUGCUCUGGAAACUGUGUAACUGGAGUGCAGGAGAGGUAAGUGGAAUUCCUAGUGUAGCGGUGAAAUGCGUAGAUAUUAGGAGGAACACCAGUGGCGAAGGCGGCUUACUGGACUGUAACUGACGUUGAGGCUCGAAAGCGUGGGGAGCAAACAGGAUUAGAUACCCGUGUA
rnacentral:rRNA from 1 species